GUGAGGUAACGGCUCACCAAGGCAUCGACGGGUAGCUGGUCUGAGAGGACGAUCAGCCACACUGGAACUGAGACACGGUCCAGACUCCUACGGGAGGCAGCAGUAGGGAAUCUUGCACAAUGGGCGAAAGCCUGAUGCAGCGACGCCGCGUGGGGGAUGAAGGCCUUCGGGUUGUAAACCCCUUUCAGUAGGGACGAAAAUGACGGUACCUACAGAAGAAGCUCCGGCCAACUACGUGCCAGCAGCCGCGGUAACACGUAGGGAGCAAGCGUUGUCCGGAUUUAUUGGGCGUAAAGAGCUCGUAGGUGGUUCCGUAAGUCGGAUGUGAAAACUCAAGGCUCAACCUUGAGACGCCAUCCGAUACUGCGGUGACUUGAGUUCGGUAGAGGAGUGUGGAAUUCCUGGUGUAGCGGUGAAAUGCGCAGAUAUCAGGAGGAACACCAACAGCGAAGGCAGCACUCUGGGCCGAUACUGACACUGAGGAGCGAAAGCAUGGGGAGCAAACAGGAUUAGAUACCCUGGUAGUCCAUGCCGUAAACGUUGGGCACUAGGUGUUGCGGUCUGAUCAAUGACUGCGGUGCCGAAGCUAACGCAUUAAGUU
rnacentral:rRNA from 1 species